rnacentral:rRNA from 1 species
ACGAACGCUGGCGGCGUGCUUCACACCUGCAAGUCGCACGGAAAGGCCCUGCUUUUGUGGGGUGCUCGAGCGGCGAACGGGUGAGUAACACGUGAGUAACCUGCCCUUGACUUUGGGAUAACUUCAGGAAACUGGGGCUAAUACCGGAUAGGAGCUCCUGCUGCAUGGUGGGGGUUGGAAAGUUUCGGCGGUUGGGGAUGGACUCGCGGCUUAUCAGCUUGUUGGUGGGGUAGUGGCUUACCAAGGCUUUGACGGGUAGCCGGCCUGAGAGGGUGACCGGCCACAUUGGGACUGAGAUACGGCCCAGACUCCUACGGGAGGCAGCAGUGGGGAAUAUUGCACAAUGGGCGGAAGCCUGAUGCAGCAACGCCGCGUGCGGGAUGACGGCCUUCGGGUUGUAAACCGCUUUCGCCUGUGACGAAGCGUGAGUGACGGUAAUGGGUAAAGAAGCACCGGCUAACUACGUG